rnacentral:rRNA from 1 species
GACGAACGCUGGCGGCGUGCUUAACACAUGCAAGUCGAACGGAAAGGCCCUGCUUUUGUGGGGUGCUCGAGUGGCGAACGGGUGAGUAACACGUGAGUAACCUGCCCUUGACUUUGGGAUAACUUCAGGAAACUGGGGCUAAUACCGGAUAGGAGCUCCUGCUGCAUGGUGGGGGUUGGAAAGGUUCGGCGGUUGGGGAUGGACUCGCGGCUUAUCAGCUUGUUGGUGGGGUAGUGGCUUACCAAGGCUUUGACGGGUAGCCGGCCUGAGAGGGUGACCGGCCACAUUGGGACUGAGAUACGGCCCAGACUCCUACGGGAGGCAGCAGUGGGGAAUAUUGCACAAUGGGCGGAAGCCUGAUGCAGCAACGCCGCGUGCGGGAUGACGGCCUUCGGGUUGUAAACCGCUUUCGCAUGUGACGAAGCGUGAGUGACGGUAAUGGGUAAAGAAGCACCGGCUAACUACGUG